CNUGAGGGAUGAAGGCCUUCGGGUUGUAAACCUCUUUCAGUAGGGAAGAAGCGAAAGCGACGGUACCUACAAAAGAAGCACCGGCUAACUAUGUGCCAGCAGCCGCGGUAAUACAUAGGGUGCAAGCGUUGUCCGGAAUUAUUGGGCGUAAAGAGCUCGUAGGUGGUCGAUCACGUCGGAUGUGAAAAUCUGAGGCUUAACCUCAGACCUGCAUUCGAUACGGGUUGACUGGAGUGUGGUAGGGGAGACUGGAAUUCCUGGUGUAGCGGUGGAAUGCGCAGAUAUCAGGAGGAACACCGAUGGCGAAGGCAGGUCUCUGGGCCAUUACUGACACUGAGGAGCGAAAGCGUGGGGAGCGAACAGGAUUAGAUACCCUGGUAGUCCACGCCGUAAACGGUGGGCGCUAGUUGUGGGAACCUUCCACGGUUUCUGCGACGCAGCUAACGCAUUAAGCGCCCCGCCUGGGGAGUACGGUCGCAAGACUAAAACUCAAAGAAAUUGACGGGGCCCCGCACAAGCAGCGGAGCAUGCGGCUUAAUUCGACGCAACGCGAAGAAACCUUACCAAGGCUUGACAUAUACAGGAAUACGGGAGAGAUGUCGUAGCCGCAAGUCUGUAUACAGGUGGUGCCUGGUUGUCCGUCAGCUCGUGUCGUGAGAUGUGGGUUAA
rnacentral:rRNA from 1 species